rnacentral:rRNA from 1 species
AUUGAACGCUGGCGGCAGGCCUAACACAUGCAAGUCGAACGGUAACAGAAAGCAGCUUGCUGCUUUGCUGACGAGUGGCGGACGGGUGAGUAAUGUCUGGGAAACUGCCUGAUGGAGGGGGAUAACUACUGGAAACGGUAGCUAAUACCGCAUAACGUCGCAAGACCAAAGAGGGGGACCUUCGGGCCUCUUGCCAUCGGAUGUGCCCAGAUGGGAUUAGCUUGUUGGUGGGGUAACGGCUCACCAAGGCGACGAUCCCUAGCUGGUCUGAGAGGAUGACCAGCCACACUGGAACUGAGACACGGUCCAGACUCCUACGGGAGGCAGCAGUGGGGAAUAUUGCACAAUGGGCGCAAGCCUGAUGCAGCCAUGCCGCGUGUAUGAAGAAGGCCUUCGGGUUGUAAAGUACUUUCAGCGGGGAGGAAGGGAGUAAAGUUAAUACCUUUGCUCAUUGGCGUUACCCGCAGAAGAAGCACCGGCUAACUCCGUG